GAUGAACGCUGGCGGCGUGCCUAACACAUGCAAGUCGAACGGAGAUUACGGACGGAAGUUUUCGGAUGGAGGACUGUAAUUCUUAGUGGCGGACGGGUGAGUAACGCGUGGGCAACCUGCCCUAUACAGGGGGAUAGCAGCUGGAAACGGCUGGUAAGACCGCAUAAGUCGGUUAAAUCGCAUGAUUUGAUCGGGAAAUGAGCAAUCAGGUAUAGGAUGGGCCCGCGUCCGAUUAGCCAGUUGGCAGGGUAAAAGCCUACCAAAGCGACGAUCGGUAGCCGGACUGAGAGGUCGGACGGCCACAUUGGGACUGAGACACGGCCCAAACUCCUACGGGAGGCAGCAGUGGGGGAUAUUGCACAAUGGAGGAAACUCUGAUGCAGCGACGCCGCGUGAGUGAAGAAGUAUUUCGGUAUGUAAAGCUCUAUCAGCAGGGAAGAUGAUGACGGUACCUGACUAAGAAGCCCCGGCUAACUACGUG
rnacentral:rRNA from 1 species